rnacentral:rRNA from 1 species
GUGGGGAAUAUUGGACAAUGGGCGAAAGCCUGAUCCAGCCAUGCCGCGUGAGUGAUGAAGGCCCUAGGGUUGUAAAGCUCUUUUACCUGGGAAGAUAAUGACGGUACCAGGAGAAUAAGCCCCGGCUAACUUCGUGCCAGCAGCCGCGGUAAUACGAAGGGGGCUAGCGUUGUUCGGAAUCACUGGGCGUAAAGAGCACGUAGGCGGAUCUUUAAGUCAGGGGUGAAAUCCCGAGGCUCAACCUCGGAACUGCCUUUGAUACUGGGGAUCUCGAGUCCGGGAGAGGUGAGUGGAACUGCGAGUGUAGAGGUGAAAUUCGUAGAUAUUCGCAAGAACACCAGUGGCGAAGGCGGCUCACUGGCCCGGAACUGACGCUGAGGUGCGAAAGCGUGGGGAGCAAACAGGAUUAGAUACCCUAGUAGUCC